rnacentral:rRNA from 1 species
UACGGGGGGGAGCAAGCGUUGUUCGGAUUUACUGGGGCGUAAAGGGCGGGUAGGCGGCCACCGCAAGUCGACUGUGAAAUCUCCGGGCUUAACCCGGAAAGGUCAGCCGAUACUGCGGGGCUAGAGUGCAGAAGGGGCAACUGGAAUUCUCGGUGUAGCGGUGAAAUGCGUAGAUAUCGGGAGGAAUACCGAUGGCGAAGGCGACUUCCUGGCCUGUUCUUGACGCUGAGGCGCGAAAGCUAGGGGAGCAAACGGG